UAAUCUCCUCCUCAGCCUAUUCUUUACGCCAAAUUAGCCUUCCUCAUUUAAUUCAAAUCUCCCAGGCCCAUUUCCCUUUUAUCCGUCCCAUCCCACUCCAAGCAAAAUAAGUAGCCCCCUUAAUUUCAAUAUCAAAAUAUCCAGCCCCCCCCCUUCUUUCCCCUUCAGCAAGAGAAACCCAGUACUCCACGCGCAAUAAUUCCGAUGGAGUGAGAAGUAGCGAUAGCGCGUACCAGGAUAAACCCAUUUUCUUCUACUUGUUUCUUCACGCGCGAGAAGAACUGGCUUUUGUCCUUUUCCCUUGCAGAUCGUACAUCGCAACAAUUUGCAACAGAGCAGAAGCGCGCCUUUGUCCUUGUAGCAAAGGAUCAAUCCACGCAAGGGUAAGAAGCAUUCUUAAGUUUUUCUGGGGUGGAGGUUCUAACAGUUAGCUUGUUUCUCGUCUCAUUCACUGCCUAUAAAGAGGUAACGCUUCUGCUCCUAGUUUCUCCUCUCCGCCUUUUCCUCUAUUUCGUCUAAUGGUGCUCAAAUUGUUUGUGUCUGUCGUUGGCUGAUUAUUUUUGUGUGACUGAUAUAGUUUACAAAUGAAAUACAUGAUCUGGAUUAUUCCCUCAAGUUAGUCAUAUUAUUAUAUUAAGAUCCCGUAAAUCUUGGCUAUCAUAAAUCUUGUCUUGUUUCCUCUAAAUAUUAUUUAGCACAUGUAGUCAUACUUGUCAUCUGUUUUGCCUCUUUUGUUAUUUUUAUAUCUAAAUUAGGAUCUGGAUGUCAGUCUUCAAUUUCUUCUGCUAUCUUAGUAUCAUUUUAUUAAAAAAUUUUAGCAUAGAAUUUGUAAAAGUUCACUUUAGUGUCAAGUAGUCUCUUUCCCUCUUUCUGAAUGUGUAGAGUAUAAUAUGAUUUUUUUAUCUGGAGUUCAUCUAUCAAAAAAAUGCUAGACCUCUCUCUUAUCCACAUCUAAAUUUUUGUGAAAUAGUGGUGCAACUGGCUAUUUUGUUCACUAUUUUCCCUGUGUGCGAAAUGCCUGACUUUAGCCAAUCGAUGCAAAGUUUUCUUAGUGUCGUUGUUAAAUUCUGUGUCUCAUUUUUAUAAAAUGGAUUUCUUAGUAUUAUUUAGUCUAGGUAAAAAUGCCUAAAAAUAUCCUCCUUUAUUUAUGUCUAAAGUUUUAGUAAAAGUAGUGGCUUAUUUGUAAUUUUGUUUUUUUAGUGACGAGCUCAUAUCCAAAAUGCUCAAGUUUACUCUAUUAAUUCAUGUUUUUACCAUGGCCUUCGUUAAAUUUCGCAUUGCAUUUCAAUUCGAUUGCAUGUAUUCCUACAUCUCACUAAAAAUUCUCUAGUUAAUGCCUCUUUGUCAUUUGGUUUGUGGCCUACAGCUACUAGUUGUUAAGUUUUAAUGUCUUGUUUAGUUCAGCGUGUUUUUUUUUUAUCACUAAGCAGUGAGUUUUAAUAUGUUCAUUAGUUGCCUUUAGUUUAUUUUUCUAGAAAUAUGCUCAAUUAUUGAGGUAUUAGCCCAAAUACAGUAGCUCACUUUGAUUUCUUAUUAGCUAAAAGUCUUACUUCGAUGUUUAUCUUUACGAGACUCAUGUCACAAUCGCCUCAGUUGCUAGUUGAAAUUAUUUAAUGCCUCUACAAAAACUAAAAAAAAAAUAGUGAUUUUUAGCCUGUUUCAAUAUUUCUUUAUACUAAUUGACUGAGUUAUUACUUACAUUUCAUUCAUUUUGUUUGCAUGUAAAUUCGUGGAUCCAUGAAUCCUGUCCUCAUAUUUUAUCGGGCCACAAGGGCCCAUAUUUCCACAUUCGAAUAGAUCCCUUAGAAGCCGAUGAACAGGUCUCUAAAAUUGAAGAAUAUGGAGUUAACCCAUGGAGUUGAAGACUUAAGAUAAAAGCUCAAUUUUUUUUUACUAAGCCUUGUAGUUUGUUCUUUUGGGCAUAAGCCCUUGUCUCUUUUUAUUUUCUGAAUGAUUAUUAUUAUUGCAUGUUUAGUCUAGGAUAGGUCCGAACGAAAAUGGGUCGAAAACCCAAAAAUUCAAAUGGGUUAAAACCCAAAGACAGGUGGGUCCAAAUACCGGUCAAGGCGAACAGAAAACUCGGAUUUUUACCCAUA